UGGGGAAUAUUGGACAAUGGGCGCAAGCCUGAUCCAGCCAUGCCGCGUGGAUGAUGAAGGUCUUAGGAUUGUAAAAUUCUUUCACCGGGGAAGAUAAUGACGGUACCCGGAGAAGAAGCCCCGGCUAACUUCGUGCCAGCAGCCGCGGUAAUACGAAGGGGGCAAGCGUUGCUCGGAAUUACUGGGCGUAAAGGGCGCGUAGGCGGACAUUUAAGUCAGAGGUGAAAGCCCAGGGCUCAACCUUGGAAUUGCCUUUGAUACUGGAUGUCUUGAGUUCGGGAGAGGUGAGUGGAAUGCCGAGUGUAGAGGUGAAAUUCGUAGAUAUUCGGCGGAACACCAGUGGCGAAGGCGACUCACUGGCCCGAUACUGACGCUGAGGCGCGAAAGCGUGGGGAGCAAAC
rnacentral:rRNA from 1 species